AGCAGCCGCGGUAAUUCCAGCUCCAAUAGCGUAUAUUAAAGUUGUUGCAGUUAAAAAGCUCGUAGUUGAAUUUUAGGCCUGGCCGGGCGGUCCGUCUUUGGCGAGUACUGUCUUGUUGUCGGGUCUUCCUUCUGGUGAACCAGUAUGUCCUUUAUUGGGUGUGUUGGGGAGCCAGGACCAUUACCUUGAAAAAUUAGAGUGUUUAAAGCGGGCUAUUGCUUGAAUAGAUUAGCAUGGAAUAAUAGAAUAGGACGUUGUGGUUCUAUUUUGUUGGUUUCUAGGACCACCGUAAUGAUUAAUAGGGAUAGUUGGGGGCAUUAGUAUUCAAUUGUCAGAGGUGAAAUUCUUGGAUUUAUUGAAGACUAACUAUUGCGAAAGCAUUUGCCAAGGAUGUUUUCAUUAAUCAAGAACGAAAGUUAGGGGAUCGAAGACGAUCAGAUACCGUCGUAGUCUUAACCAUAAACUAUGCCGACUAGGAAUCGGGCGACGUUAUUUUAAUGACUCGCUCGGCGCCUUAUGG
rnacentral:rRNA from 1 species